rnacentral:lncRNA from 1 species
UGGGGGUGUUGGGGACUCUGCAGCACGGCCCUGAGAGGGUGUGCAUCAGGAAUCUCAGUCAUAAGCAACAGAAAUCAGUAGGUUAGAGUGGAAAACAAGUAUACUGAAAAGAUACUGGGUAGCUCAGAGAAGGGCUAGGACUAGAAAAUCCGACCUGGAGGAGACAGGGAUAAACAAUACAGGGCAGCGCUGCUUGUACUGCCCGCUCUGGACCGUGGGCACUGCAGCCACCACGCCCACACUCGUGACACUGCGGGCGAGCGUGACUGUCGUUCUGUCACAGCUGGGAAGGGUCCUUUGUUUGUUUGUUUCAUUAACUCUCAGGUCUGACUCUAGGGCAGUGCUUUUGAUUAGGCUGAGUCUAAAAGAUAAAACGAGAGAGAGAAAGAUAUCUAGAGAACUCUUCUCUACCUCGACUUAAUCUCCUUCUUUGACUUCUAUCAUCUGAAUUUUUCCCACACAUUUUAUUUAUUUAUUUUUUGGCUGCACUGCUCGGCAUGUGGCAUCUUAGUUCCCCAACCAGGGAUUGAACCCUCACCCCCCGUGGCUUCCACACACACUUUAUAAAGAAGAGAUCUGAACUGUCACCAUAGUGGAAGCUGUGGUGCCCACCCAGAUCCCCAGCCAGUCGCUGGGUGCUGGCGGCUAACACGUACAUCAUGGCUGCGCCUUUUCCUCCCCUUCUCAGGACAACUGCCCUUGACUGACAAGAGCUGCCUGCUGGGACGUUACAAGCUCUUUUCCCUAGGAGGAGCGGGCAGCUCCAGCCACUGACUGACUGAUAACGGGACUACAAACUGGCCCCCGUGCCUCAGAGUAGGUUACAUUCCAGAGUCCCCCUCAGCCCUUACCUGAGACCACAACCUUCACCUGAGUUAGUACUUACCUUACACACACCCUUACUUGGAGCUUCCAUUCCCCGUACCUGUUUUGCCUCCUUUUCUCACUUGCCGGUUUUUCUUAAAAACAACCUCUCAAUAAAUUACAAGCACCCAGUACCUUGUCUGAGGCGCUACGUCCCCAGUCCCACCUGCAAUAUCAUUUCUCUUCGAGCCCUGCAGUCUAAGAUGUCUUCUCUUCUGCUUCCUGGGCAGACAAGUUACAGUGAUGAGGGGCAGGCAGGAGAGAGAAGUCAGGCUCUCCAGCCAGAGAGACAGGUCUUAACCCAGUAAUCACGCCCAUAGCUGUAGGAUAGUGAUUGAGACAAAUCUUGUGAAGGAAAGGCUGUAUGAGAGGAUCCAUCCCAGUCAAGAUGUCGGGAAGGCUUCCCUGAGGAAGUGAAGAAAUUCUCCGUUGGGGCUAUCAGCUUGGCCUGAGAGCUCUGUGAAGUGAAGUUGAGUAAAAGUGUAAAGCGGGUAAACAGAGCCUUCCUAUACAAAGGCCCCGAGCCAGGAGGGGAUACGGGAUGAAACAAGGCCGUUGAGAUUGGAGCCGAGAAAGGCGGUGGCACUGAGGAUGUGGGGGCAGAGGGGGCUGACUCAGCUUUUUAGGGAAUCUGGUCUUCAUCCUAAAACAAAACAAGUGUUGGAGGGUAUCCCGCUCCUGGGAGAGGGGUAAAGGGACACGGUCCGUCUGUGGCUGGGAAGAUCUCUCUGGCUGCAACACAGAGAAAGGGUAGGAAAGGGGCAGCUGGGUGAGUUGGUGAGGGGCUCCACAGAAGAGUGAGGAGAGCUCUUGGGGUGCAGGGCUGGCAGUGGGGAGGGGCCACAGAUCUGGAAGAUCUUUAGGAGUGAUGUUAGCAAGAUUUGGUGAUGGGUUUUACGGGGCGGAGGCAGGAGAGGGAAUUGUCAAGGAUGACAUCUGAGUUUCUGGUUUUAGUAUCUGGAGGGAUUGUAGGAAAAGCUGGGAGAGCCGAGGGCAGGCGGCCACAGACCUCUGCAUUCCUCUGAAGUAAAGGAAAGAGAAGAGAAACCAAAUGCAGAUGCCUUUCAUCUGUGUCCCCCGCCCUCAAUAGGGUCACCUACACACUAUCUCUCAGGCAAGGUGGCUGGCUGUCCAAUGGGGUUUUGUAUACUGGGGAAGUAUCCCAACCAGUGGUCUCAGAUGACAAAGGGUGUCCUUCCACUCCUUAUUUUUAAAAAGAAAGUAAAUAUGUGUAUAACCGAGUCACUUUGUUGUACAGCAGAGACUGGCACAACAUUGUAAAUCAACUGUACUUCAGCAAAAUUAAAAGGAUAGGAAUAAAAGGAAUAUACAUUUCCUCAGUCAGUCCAUCAUUACCUUGAACAAACUCCUACUACGUUUAUGAUAAAGAUAAUGCAAUUAUUUUUUUNNNNNNNNNNNNNNNNNNNNNNNNNNNNNNNNNNNNNNNNNNNNNNNNNNNNNNNNNNNNNNNNNNNNNNNNNNNNNNNNNNNNNNNNNNNNNNNNNNNAAUGCAAUUAUUUUUUUUAAAAAACCAGCCUUCCAAAUUUUUAUGGACCUUAAAAAAUAAUAAAUGCAUUCACCACGGCAUAGUCAAAAGUUACAAAAAAUAAGAACCCCUGCUCUAAAGCUUUCUUGGUUCAGGGAUUUUUGCCAGAUAAAAAACAAAUGCCUUCAGGAUAGUUAGUGCUCUAAAAUGUCACUGUCACUUUUAUUUUGGUGUCUGUUCAGAUCGUUUUAUGAAAAUGAGUCCCUGUGAAAGGAAAUGGGAGACUGUGAGAGCACUAGUCACUUGAGAAAGAUCAGGAGGCACCAGAUUGGGAAAGGAGGCUGGAGAGUGGAGGACCAAGGACAUCUCAGCUUUCCCAGUGACAAGCUGUAGGAGAAUUGGUCUGUCAUCAAGGGCAGGGCCCGAGUCAGGUGUCUGAUCCUUUGUGGCAUCUCUGUGGCCCAGGUCAUACAGCGCGUGUCCUAGUGCAUUGCAGAAAUCAGUGGGCCCCUUUUCUCCUUCAGAUCUCUUUUCCCACCUGCAACCCCAUUCAUUAACUCAGCAAGUACAUAUGGAGUUAAAACGUGUACCAGGAAACACACUAAGUGUAAGCAAGGACUCUGCAUGCAUGGAAGUUACAUUCUCUUCUGGAAUGGAUGUGAAGAUAGACAAUAAACAAUAAACAAAACCAAGAUCAUUGCAUAUCUUGUUGAGUGUGGCCAAGAAAUAAACAGGAAAUGGGAGAAAGUGCUCAGGAGUGUUUUAGAUAGAGUUACCAGGGAAGUCAGCUCUGAGUGAGUAACAUCUGAGCUCUACUCGAUGAAGAUGAAGUCAUAGGUGAGAAGGGUCUGGCCUCAUUAAAUAAUGAAAAUGAAGUCAUAGAUGAGAAGGGCUUAGCCUCAUUAAAUUCCAGGGGGAGAACAUUCCAAGCAGAGGAGAAUAAUACUCAAAGCCCAGGAGAUAGGAAAGAGGUUCCUCAUAAAAAUUAGGCUGGUGCAGCUGAAGAACAUGGAUUGAGGAGGAGAGUUGUGUGAGAUGAGAUUGGUAAAUUAGGUGAAGCAGAUCACUUAGGACCUUAGGUGAUCAGGGCUUAGUCGGGAAAGAGAGAAAUCAAACCAGUUAUUUUAAAAGAGAGAAUUCUAUGUAAACAAUUGUUAACUAGGUAACUGAAAAGGCUAAAAACAUAGAGUUAAGGUAUCAUGAAACUACAGGUUCAGGAAGCAGCUAACGUCCCUAGAGCUGAAGGAACAAAGGGAAAGUAUGCUUUUGUUAGAACUCACAAACUUGGAGGCGGGGACCCUCAGAGCUGAAUUUCUGGACCUUAGAGAAGGGGAUGUGGCUGAGCUUCUGUUAAUGUUUCUAAGUUCAGAGGAGGGGGCCUCUCAAGCCUGGACCCAGAACUCAGAGAAGAAGGAGGCACUAGCCAACUAGUGCUGAUAUUUCUGUGGGUCAUGAUAAGGCUGGUUUUGUGUGCAUCAGAAAAACUGAAAACUAGACUUGACUGUUGCUAAGAAGAGGGGCAGUCACUGACGGAAUGAAGAAAAGGUGAUGUGUUCAGAAAAAGGAAGCAGACAGGAGGCAGUGAGGAAUAGCUCCCUUCUUCCUCCUCUGAAUUUACAGUCUCAUUCUACCACCCUAUUGGCAAGGGACUAAAAAAGAAAAAAGCUGUCAAAAACAAAAAUAGAAUUUUUAGACCCUCAGAUCCAGAAAAACAAAUUUAGAAUAAAAGGAUGAGUUUAGACCUGAGAGGCAAUAGACGAAUAAUCGACACAGAUCGUGUGUCCCACAAAAAAUAGGAAUUUGGGUUUUAAGAGCAGUGGGAAGACACUGGUUGGUUUUAAGUGCAAGUCGGUAUGAUGAGAUUUUUCCUUUGAGAAUAUCUCUCAGGCUACUGUGUAGGAAGCAGAGCAGAGACAAGCAGAAUCAGAAUCAAGAUGACCAGUUAAGAAGCUCUAGCAGUUUCUAUAUUAUGCAUUCAAGUUUUUUAAUAAUUACAGAGUAUUUAAAUGAUUUUUAUUGGGUGAAAUGUGUUUUGGGGGAAACUGUGCAAUAUUUAUCUAAGUUGUCAAAAUUUCUCCAGGCAAGAAUACUGGAGUGGGUAGCCAUUCCCUUCUCCAGGGNNNNNNNNNNNNNNAGGGAUUGAACCCAGGUCUCCUGCAUUGGCAGGCAGAUUCUUUACCAUCUCAGCCUCCAGGCAAAAUAGUAGAUGCUUGCUUUGUGGGAUAUUUUCAUUAUAAAACUACACGUGUUAUGUAGGUUUUUUGAGAUGCAACUAACAAAUGUUCACUAGAAUAAACUCAGAUAUUCAGGCCCUAUUAUUAUCAUGCCCAUGAAAAUAAAGAUGGGAACUUUCCUAAUAGGGUCAGCCAAAGAGCCACAUUACUUUAAUGUAGUUUUGAGGAAAUUUCAGUGGGUGUAUGCUCCAUGGAAUCCAAUGACCCUAACUAAACUAUGAUUAUUUCUUAUAACACUAUUUGGCUUAGGACAUAGAACACAAUGCUAGCCCAUGACUCACUGUGAAGGGGCAAAGGCAUAUAUCAAUUUGAAAGUCUGGCUUAAAUGAAAGAACAAUUUUAGAUUAUGUAGGAAAAUGAGUUGACUACAUAUUCUUCAGACCAUCAUUCAUACAUAUUAUUUUUGUAACCAAACUUUUGAUAUGUAGUCAUGCCGUUAUNNNNNNNNNNNNNNNNNNNNNNNNNNNNNNNNNNNNNNNNNNNNNNNNNNNNNNNNNNNNNAUUAUUUAAAUGAAUGAGAGCCAUUUUAUGUUGCUGAUGAAGAACAUGCUUUAAUUAGAGAUAGGUCACUU